UCGAUCCCCAGCACUCCUGUGA
rnacentral:miRNA from 1 species